UACGUAGGUGGCAAGCGUUGUCCGGAUUUACUGGGUGUAAAGGGCGUGUAGCCGGGCUGACAAGUCAGAUGUGAAAUUCCGGGGCUCAACCCCGGACCUGCAUUUGAAACUGUUGGUCUUGAGUAUCGGAGAGGCAGGCGGAAUUCCUAGUGUAGCGGUGAAAUGCGUAGAUAUUAGGAGGAACACCAGUGGCGAAGGCGGCCUGCUGGACGACAACUGACGGUGAGGCGCGAAAGCGUGGGGGGCAAACAGG
rnacentral:rRNA from 1 species